ACAUUGUUUGCAGGCUCAGAUCCUGAUGACAUGCAGCACGACGAAUUGGAAGACUCAAGUCACAAUACCUAUGUCGACCAUGAUCCAUUGGACUAUGUCUACUCAAACCUCCCAGACCACACACACAUCCUAAAGCACGCCGCAAAUUGCGAUCACUGCAAGGCCAAGAAGUUUGUGUCUGAGGCCCCGGGAUUCUGUUGUCGCAGUGGGCAGAUCCAGCUGAAGCAACCGGAGCCCGUCCCGGAGCUAAUGAGGCUUUGGUCUAGCAUGGAUGCGGACUCAAGGCAUUUUUGGGAGAACAUACGGUUCUUCAACGGCCACUUCUCCUUCACAACCCUCGGCGUCAGCCUUGAUGAAAUCUACACAAACAUGAAGUCUGGGGUGUACACGUUCCGGGCGCACGGCACCAUCUACCACAACGUUCAUUCCUUCGGGCCAACAUCACGUCCAGAUCAUCUACAGUUGUACUUCUACAACGACGACCCAGGCCUAACCCAUCGCAAGGCUGCCACCGAGCAAUUAGACCAAGAUGUCGUCAGAAAGUUAGUGGACAUACUCAGGGAAAACCCUACUCCCAGCAGUUUAGGAGUUUGGGUGCGCACAGGGACAAUCUCGACGAUUACAGGAUAG
rnacentral:rRNA from 1 species